CGCAUUCUCCUCCUUCGUGUUUAUCAACAAUGAAACUGUUUCAUUAACUUCCCCCACUUUCUUCUGAUUUUUUUUUUUCUUUAAGAUUCAGAUGUUGAACUCAACUCAUGAUAGAAAUCACUUUUAUUUCUUCAAGGUUUAAAUCAUUGAAUGGAUUGGAGAUCUGAUUUUUGUAGAAACACGAAGAACCGACCGGAACUAUUUCUUCUGAGAAUUCAGAAGAGUCACUCUUGAUAUACCCGGAAACUAUUGGUGAUUAAGCGUUUCGUAUUUUGGGGUGGCUACCCAUCAUACAACACCUAAUCAAGUCGAACAGGUCAACUGUAUAGUUGGUGCAAGAUAACACUUGUGUCUCCUUACAGAGCACCAUCAGUUAAAUGCAUCGUUUGUCAGUAUGUUACGAAUACAUGGAUGAGUGCGUCAACAAAAAGUAGUAAUUAAUGACCAAGCCAAAAGGCCCAAUUGGUCCUCAACCAUGCACAAAACUCUAGUGGAUAAUAAUGAAAAGAAGGAUGCAACUGAGAACAAGGAUCCACCCAAACACGUAUUUCACAUUGUUACCAAGAGGCGUAUUUAUGCUGCAAUGAGGAUGUGGUUUCUUGCUAACUCAAGCCAAGCUUCUGUCCAAGUUAAGAACAUUGAAGAAUUUACUUGGCUGAGCGCAAGUUAUUGUCCAGUUUUGAAGCAGCUCGUAUUCUCCUUCCACGAUAGAUUAUUACUUCUUUCUUGUUUUGAACUUGAUAAUGAAGUAUGUAGCUUUUGUUGUUGAACAUGAGGAUGUUUCGGUUGUCAUUCAAGUUGAUUAAUAAAAUGGGUUAUCCUUUGUUAA